UUGGAGCUAGGGUUAGGGUUGGGCUUGGAGCUAGGAUUUUUCUGAGUGCAAUGAACCAACUCCCGAGUCUCUAGGACGUUCCUAAAAAAAUUUGAUUUUUUCCCAUAGGAAUGCAUGGGUUAGGGUUAGGGUUAGGGUUGGAGCUAGGGUUAGGGUUAGGGUUAGGGUUGGAGUUAGGGUUAGUGUUGGAGCUAGGGUUAGGGUUGGGCUUGGAGCUAGGAUUUUUCUGAGUGCACUGAACCAACUCCCGAGUCUCUAGGACAUUCCUAAAAAAAUUUGAUUUUUUCCCAUAGGAAUGCAUGGUUUAGGGUUAGGGUUAGGGUUAGGGUCUGAGCUAGGGUUAGGGUUGGAGUUAGGGUUAGUGUUGGAGCUAGGGUUAGGGUUGGGCU